GUUACUGCAGAACCUUGAAAUUCAAAGUUGCCCUAAUUUGGCAUCACUGCCAGAAGGGAUUCGUCGACUCCCCAACUUAAAUACAUUGGGAAUUUGGAGAUGCCCCGUGUUAAGCGAAAGAUGCGAGAAGGAAACAGGGGAGGACUGGCCUAAGAUUGCUCACAUCCCAUCCAUUUCUAUUCAUAAUUUGUAAGAUGACAUACCAUAUACUCAAUGAUUUUGUCCUCACUUUUACUUUCUAGUUGAGCAACACCGAAUCCAAUGCAAAGCAGUGCUGAAACCAAAGACGGUUCAAGCGUUUAGAUGGACACACAUCUUUAUCAGAAGAGACAGAAAUGAUGCGCUGCAUAUAUCGACAAUAAGCUCCAAAGUCCUUGCUGUUGGACAUUCACAGGGAACAAUCAUGUCUUUAGCUGCUCUCACCCAGCCGGACAUAGCAGAACUGGUUGAAUCUGCCUGGUCUUUUAUGUUGAUCAGGUAUUCCUCAUCUUCUUCAAAGUAUACCGCAUGAUUGGCUUCUCUAAUAGAAUUGAUGAUCUGUUCAUCUUUUCAGAUGAUUCUUUUUACUCAAUGUUAUGAGAUUUUAGUAGUAGUAAUUUUGAUAUCUUCUGUUACAUUAUGUGUGGUGAAUGGGGCAUCAACUUUUUGGAUUCAAUAUGUGAUGGCCAUGUUGACUGCUCGGAGUGGUUGUAUAUGAAUUUGCUUUUGAUUAACGGGUUUGGAUACUAUGUCCCCCCGUUGUAUGUUUUUGAUCAAGUAAUAUAAUACGGGCGUGAGGGCCUAGCCCCCCAGCUUCGACUGAGUUCCAGCCCUCUUUAAAUAU
rnacentral:sRNA from 1 species